UAACACCUGUUCCCUUUGUCUCAGCUGAUUCUCCAGCAUAGCAGAACAUCCUCAUGGGUUAAGACUCAAGUUAUAGAUCUGGAAGUGGAAUUUUUAAUUGCCAUUUGAAUCAGGUUACAAAAGCACCAACCCGGGGAUGAAACAUGACAGACCCUUUUUACCAGUCUGCACAGCAGGUCGCAGCUCACUCUCUCUCCCCUGCUGUCUGUGUGUGUGUGUGUGUGUGUGUGUGUGUGUGUGUGUGAGACCCUGUAUUGACUAGAUUCAUUGAGAGGCCGGCCUUCUGUGAUGGUGAUGGCAAAGUGUACAGUUGCUUGGACAAACAAUCACGGAGGAGAGACACAUGGAGCUGUGUGACAGAACACAGCCUGGAGGGAAGCUAAUGCUGAACUUGAUACUUUGGGAACUCUCCAGGAUUUGUUCUAAAAUGAAGCAUGAACCUGGGAACAUACUGUGACACCACAGUGCUCCGUUAAUGUCUGUAUAACAACAGCAGCAUUGUGUGAGAGAGCGGGAUCUGUACGGCUGGGUAAAAGAGAUAUACACGAUGUCACAAUGUGUGGAUAGACAUGUGAAGGAUGGUAUAAAUGGAACCAGGUCAAACAUGUGGAUACAGAGCAGAAAUACACAGACUCUCACAGAUCUACGGCGGUUGGAGCAGAAACGUUGUUCAGGUGCAGAUGUGAUGCAGGCUGAGGCACAUGAAGCGGAUUUAUCAAACAGAUGCAGUGGGCAAGGUUCUAACCAAUGACGGUCCUGGCCUUGUGAAUGAGCUCACUGAUCCUGCUGGCAUCCCUGGCACAGAUGAUGCUCCCCCAGCAGACCGCAGCACAUUAGAUGGCACUCACUUCCACAGACUGGUGGAGGAGCUCCAGCAUUUUGCGUCAUACAUUGACAGAUCUGAGCUUGAUCUGUGAUGUUACUGUUAAUAUAUGUCGAUCCCAUUCUUAGAAACAAAACAGAGCAAUAACAAUAUAACUGUGCUGUAAAAUCCCUACCGGCUGCAACAGCACAUUCACUGCACUAUUUUUCUUAAACAUCAACUGUAAAAAUUUCCUGUCUACCAUUAAUUUCCUCAUCAAAAACUAUGAUGAACAAUGUAAUGGCAUUUUCUUUGACAAAAGCAGUUCUGAACCUUGAUUAGAAAGUCACCUUUGAAAUCGAGAACUAUGACAAAUAUUUCACAUUUUUCAUCAGCAUCAAAUUAAUAUUUUAAUCCUGCAGCAUCACAGAGUAACUCCGUGGUAACUAUGGUAACUGUGCACAACAGAGACAGUGACAUCUGUAACCAUGGUAACUGUGCACAACAGAGAUGGUGACUGUAACAGUGUUAACUGUACAUCAGCAAUGGUUGCAAUGGUGGAUGUAAAUGAUACAACUGUACACAACAGAUUUUGGGACAGCUGUAACCAUGGUGACUGUACACAGCAGAGAUGUGACAGCUGUAACUAUGGUGACUGUAGACAGCAGACACCUGUCAGCUGUAACCAUGGUGACUGUACACGGCAGAGACGGUGACAGCUGUAACCAUGGUGACUGUACAUGGCAGAGAUGGUGACAGCUGUAACCAUGGUAACUGUACACGGCAGAGAUGGUGACAGCUGUAACUUAACAUGGUCUGAAGACAUAAAAAUGAGAAAUGUGUGAUCAAAAUGAAAUAAAAUGUUUUUGUUGACUGAACAUUUCAAGUUAAAUCAAAAUCAGGUUCUAAACUACAGUAACGCUGCUGUGCUGCAGCUAAUACAGGGAUCUUUUCGGAAAUAGCAGGACGUAGAAUGUGAUGUUUUUAUACUUUACAUAAAUGAAUGCAUAAUGGAUACAAUCCACUUUGUGACAUUUAAAAAAAAUUCAUUUUACCAAUUUCUAAAGUUUAUAUUCAACUGUUGGAUUCAAGAGAGAUGGUAGAAAUAUUUUAAUCACUUUAUAUAUAAAGAAUAUAAAACAUUAUAAUAAAAGCUUUUCAAGAGAGAGUGAAGGCUGUGUAGUGGAUGGAGGAAGUCUGAAAGAAAAAAUGUGAAA